rnacentral:tRNA from 1 species
GAGGGUAUAGCUCCGUGGUAGAGCACGUGCCUAGCAUGCACAAGGUCCUGGGUUCAUUCCCCAGUGUCUCUG